AAUUUCAGAACUCCGACCCGAACCUCCACGUGGUGCUGGCUGGACUACAAUUGUUGCCAAUCAUGGCCAACAAUUGUAUACCGACUGGGGCGG
rfam:Anopheles funestus strain FTMOZ unplaced genomic scaffold supercont1.479, whole genome shotgun sequence.